CACGUAGGCGGAUGUGUCAGUCAGGGGUGAAAUCCCGGGGCUCAACCUCGGAACUGCCUUUGAUACAGCACGUCUUGAGUCCGAUAGAGGUGGGUGGAAUUCCUAGUGUAGAGGUGAAAUUCGUAGAUAUUAGGAAGAACACCGGUGGCGAAGGCGGCCCACUGGAUCGGUACUGACGCUGAGGUGCGAAAGCGUGGGGAGCAAACA
rnacentral:rRNA from 1 species